rnacentral:rRNA from 1 species
UACGGGGGGAGCAAGCGUUGCUCGGAAUCACUGGGCGUAAAGGGUGCGUAGGCGGGUUUUAAGUCAGGGUGAAAUCCUGGAGCUCAACUCCAGAACUGCCUUUGAUACUGGUGAGCUUGAGUCCGGAAGAGGUGAGUGGAACUGCGAGUGUAGAGGUGAAAUUCGUAGAUAUUCGCAAGAACACCAGUGGCGAAGGCGGCUCACUGGUCCGGUACUGACGCUGAGGUGCGAAAGCGUGGGGAGCAAACAGG